rnacentral:rRNA from 1 species
UUUCUUGAUUCGGUGGGUGGUGGUGCAUGGCCGUUCUUAGUUGGUGGAGCGAUUUGUCUGGUUAAUUCCGAUAACGAACGAGACUCUAGCCUGCUAAAUAGGCGAUUUCCGGUACCCACAAUAGUGUUACCGGCGAUUCAAUUUCUUCUUAGAGGGACAGGCGGCUCCUAGCCGCACGAGACUGAGCAAUAACAGGUCUGUGAUGCCCUUAGAUGUCCUGGGCCGCACGCGCGCUACACUGAAGGAAUCAGCGUGUCUUCCCUGGCCGACAGGCCGGGGUAACCCGUUGAACCUCCUUCGUGCUAGGGAUUGGGGCUUGCAAUUGUUCCCCAUGAACGAGGAAUUCCCAGUAAAGCGCGAGUCAUAAGCUCGCGUUGAUUACGUCCCUGCCCUUUGUACACACCGCCCGUCGCUACUACCGAUUGAAUGAUUUAGUGAGGUCUUCGGACUGGUGCGCGGCGAUCGGUUCUGCCGGUCGCCGAUGUUGCUGGAAAG